UCUUCACAGAGGAGAUAUAGGCAACAUUAAAAAAAAUUAUGGCGGAGAGCUAUCUUUGCCACGAGUUUUUAGUGUCAUUGUCGUGUUAUAUCAAUGGUUUAUCGUUAGGAAUCAUAAUAAAUGAUUGCAGAAGACGAACUUUGUGUAUAUUUAUCAGAUUCAGGUUGCAUUGAUCUUAAUUCGUACUCGAAACCUGUUGUUUUUGUUUACGUGAAUUGAAACUGAAAGUUAAACGGUGUUAAACAGUGUGUUAAACAUUUAAAACAACGUGUGUUAUUCUGAAUACACAUUCAGGGACUACGGAAAAAUAUGAGCGACAGAUCUCUGGAGAAAAUUUGUUGACAACUAUUUCAGCAAUCGAAGUUACCGUUUAUUUUCCACAGGCACAGGCAUUUCCCCAAAUGGUAGGAGAAUUUUGAUAGAGAUUCUGCAUAUGACAGACUACAAUAUAUUAAGGAGCAGUAGCGAAGUUAUCAACCAUUGUAUUCUAGUGUCUGUAGGACAACUACACAAGAACUUUUUCAACAAUAAAAGCUGUCCACACUCAGCAAAAUGACUUGGACAUAAAAAGGCUAAGCAUGUAUAUGCCGAUACUUCAUUCAACAUGUUCCACUCAAAGGAAAUGCUGCCUUUGCUCAACAAUAAUGAGAGUAUAGCUGAAAGUACUGUAUUACUACACUUGUGUAAGAAUGAGUAAUUUUAGAAACAAAAUGUAGAAUCAGCUUCAAUUUCGAACAAAAGAACUUCGAGAAAGAAUUUUAACACAGAUAAAGUGGCAUGAACAAAGUCGAACCGUUUGUGGCAAUGGAGGAAAUGAGACUGUCGGGAAAGUUUACCAGACAUAAAUGCUUGUGAUUUCAACUAAUCAGCUCCUACUUCUCUCGUUUUCAUCAACUCGAAAAGACAACAGAUGUUGAAGAUUAUGACUCGGAUGUUAAAGAAGAUGGAAAGAAAGCUAUCCGGUCAAAAAGUUCUUUCAAGUCUCAAUUGAUAGCACCCACUAAAGACAAAAUAUGACUACUUCCAUGGCUGACAAUUUAAAGUUAGCAGAAGACUUAAGAAAUAAUUUAUAGCAAAACCGUUUUUAUACGCCCGUUUGAAAAACGGGACGUAUUAUGGGAACGCCCCUGGCGGGCGGGCGGGCGGGCGGCGUCCACAGACCUUGUCCGGAGCAUAUCUUCUACAUGCAUGAAGGGAUUUUGAUGAAACUUGGCACAGUUGUUCACCAUCAUGAGACGGAGUGUCAUGCGCAAGAACCAGGUCCCUAGGUCUAAGGUCAAGGUCACACUUGGAGGUCAAAGGUCAAAUUCAAGAAUGACUUUGUCCGGAGCAUAUAUUCUUCAUGCAUAGAGGGAUUUUGAUGAAAGUUGGCACAAUUGUUCAUCAUCAUGAGAAGGAGUGUCAUGCGCAAGAACCAGGUCCCUAGGUCUAAGGUCAAGGUCACACUUAGAGGUCAAAGGAUACAAGAAUGAAAACUUUGUCCGGAGCAUUUUUUCUUCAUGCAUAGAGGGAUUUUGAUAUAACUUGGCACAAAUGUUCACCACCAUGAGGCGGAGUGUCAUGCGCAAGAACCAGGUCUCUAGGUCUAAGGUCAAGGUCACACUUAGAGGUCAAAGGAUACAAGAAUGAAAACCUUGUCCGGAGCAUUUCUUCUUCAUGCAUUAGAGGGAUUUUGAUAUAACUUGGCACAAAUGUUCACCACCACAAGACGUAGUGUCAUGCGCAAGAAACAGGUCCCUAGGUCUAAGGUCAAGGUCACACUUAGAGGCCAAAGGUCAGAUACAAGAAUGACUUUGUCCGAAGCAUUUCUUCUUCAUGCAUGGAGGGAUUUUGAUGUAACUUGACACAAUUAUACACCAUCAUGAGACGAAGUGUCAUGCGCAGUUCCCUUCUUUAGAAUUACUUCCCUUUGUUGUUACUAUAAAUAGCUUAUAUUGUAACUUUUUCAUUACUAGUCGUAGGGAAAAAUCGAGACCACUUUUCUGUAGUACAACAUGCAUGCUACAUCCAAUUUUGAGGUGUAUUUUGACCAGUCUCUACCUGGUAAAGAUUUUUGUGUGGACUUACAAUUUUUUUUUGAUUUUUUUUUUUUUUUUUUUUUUUAAGAUUAACUUCCCUUAGUUGUUACUAUAAAUAACUUAUAUUGUAACUUUUUUAUAAUUGACCGUAGGGAAAAACCAAGACCACUUUUCUGUGGUACAACAUAGAUGUUACUUUCUAAUUUUAGGUGUAUUUUAAGGUAUCUCUACCUGGUAAGGAGUUUUUUUGUGGACUUAGAAAAACAAAACACUUAGUUAUUACUAAACAACCACAAAAUUAAAAUUCCAUUUGCAAAUACAGGUGCUAGAGUAAAGAAAUUUGCUGUGACGGGCGUAUAUUGUGACAUUCUUGCACUCUUGUUUACUUUGUUUUUUUCACAGUGGGAGUUUUAGGUCAAGCAAGAGCAGUUAUUUCAUAUAACAUUUAACAGUCAGAUUGUAUAGUGUUUAAACACGUCUUGCUAGAAGUUAUUGCUAUUCUAAUAUAUCUGGUAUGUAAAAGUUAUAUCAAACAUGACGGAACUGUUUAUUUUGCACAUGUAUAAUGUGUAUGGCACCAAAUGUUAGGUCGUCACAUUCUUUCUCAGUACCAGAAAUGGUAUGCAUGCACAUUGAACUGGCAUUUCCAAUGUUGGCAAAACCCAUCUGAUAUUCCCCAUGCCAGAUGAAUUCGUGCUGUUAAUGACAACUAAAGAUUCAUGCACAUAUAUCGUUUAUGUAAAAUUCGAAAAAGUCAGAUAUAUUGAUAGUUUCUCUACGUUCCUUGUAGUAUAUUUCUUGAUUGAAAAGAUGUUACUUUAUGGUGAUAACACAACGUUACACUACAAAUGAUAAAGCUAAAAUAGAACUUUAUUAUUGUGCAUCACUGAAAGGUCAUGACAUCACUUCUGCUCACAGACAUCUAUUUCUCGCACUUUACAAACUUUAAGAAAGAGUGCUACAAAGAAAGUAUUUCUAUUUGCUUUAUCUAUUUUUAGCUCACCUGAGCACAAAGUGCUCAAAGGUGAGCUUUAGUGAUCGCCCUGUGUCCGUCGUCCGUCCGUCCGUCGUCAACAAUUUGACUGUUAACACUCUAGACGUCACAUUUUUGGCCCAAUCUUAAUGAAACUUGGUCAGAAUGUUACCCUCAAUAAAAUCUUGGACGAGUUUGAUAUUGGGUCAUCUGGGAUCAAAAGCUAGGUCACCAGGUCAAAUCAAAGGAAAAGCUUGUUAACACUCUAGAGGUCACAAUUUUGGCUCAAUCUUAAUGAAACUUGGUCAGAAUGUUACCCUCAAUAAAAUCUUGGACGAGUUCGAUAUUGGGUCAUCUGUGGUCAAAAACUAGGUCACCAGGUCAAAUCAAAGGAAAAGCUUGUUAACACUCUAGAGGUCACAAUUUUGGUCCAAUCUAAAUGAAACUUGAUCAGAGUAUUAUCCUCAAUAAAGUAUUGGAAGAGUUCGAUAUUGGGUCAUCUGGGGUCAAAAACUAGGUCACCAGGUCAAAUCAAAGGGAAAGCUUGUUAACACUGUAGAGGCCGCAUUUAUGACUAUAUCUUCAUGAAACUUGGUCAGAAUGUUAAUAUUGAUAAUCUUAAGGUUCAGUUUGAGUCUGGGUCAUGUAGGAUCAGAAACUAGGUCACCAGGUCAAAUCAAAGGAAAAGUUAGUUUACACUGUAGAGGCCACAUUUAUGACCAUAUCUUAAUGAAACUUGGUCAAAAUGUUAAUCUUGAUGAUCUAUAGCUCAAGUUCAAAUCUGGUUUAAGUGGGGUCAAAAACUAGGUCACCAGGUCAAAUCAAAGGAAAAGCUUGUUAACACUCUAGAGGCCAUAUUUGUGACUAUAUCUUAAUGAAACUUGAUCAGAAUGUUAAUCUUGAUGAUCUUAAGGUCAAGUUAAAAUCUGGGUCAGGUGGGGUCAAAAACUAGGUCACUAGGUCAUAUCAAAGGAAAAGCUUGUUAACACUGUAGAGGCCACAUUUAUGACUGUAUCUUCAUGAAACUUAGUCAGAAUGUUGACCUUGAUGAUCUUUAGGUCAAGUUCGAAUCUGGGUCAUGUCGGGUCAAAAACUGGGUCAUGGGGUCAAAUCAAAGGAAUAGCUGGUUAACACUUUAGAAGCCACAUUUAUGACCAUAUCUUAAUGAAACUUGGUCAGAAUGUUAAUCUUGAUGAUCUUUAGGUCAAUAGGUCAGGUGAGUGAUACAGGGCCUUCAUGGCCCUCUUGUUUUAUUUGUAAAAUACUGUGUGCAUGGAAACUAUUCUGUCAGAAUAUAAAACUUUUAUGUACAAGACAAGCAAGAAAAACCUUCAGUCAUGUGUUUAAAAUUCAGAUAGAAAUAUCCGUCCCUCGGCCACCUGAGCAUUGGUGCAUGGUAACGAGGAUUGUAGAGUUGCCGCCCAGUGUGCAGGUGCCCUCGGGAUGGAUAUUUCUAUCUGAUUCUUAUAAUAAAUGACAUAUAUCAUUAAUACAUCUUGCAGAAUAGUUCCAUUAAGGCGCAAAUGAAAGAGAAAGCGUACAGCAAAUAACUAGCUCAGGGUAUGUGUAAAUUAAUCAAGAAAGUUGUGUUUUGUGAAAUUAAUCAAGAAAGUUGUGUUUUGUGAUAUUUUGUUUAAAAACAUGUUUUCUAAGUAAAAUAUUUUAUCAAA